UUUAAUUGUAACUGUGAAUUUUUUAUCCAACAUCUGACAAUAUAUUUUAUUUGAAUUAUUUUAUAAUUAGUAUUUAUGAUGCUAUUAGAUGAUAAAAUAUGAAUAGUAGUUUUGUUCUUGACUUUUUUUUAUUUUUUAAUAAAUUUUUCAAAUAAAACAGAUGAUCAAAUGUUGGACACGGGAACCCACAAUUGUACUUAAA
rfam:Oryza meridionalis cultivar OR44 (W2112) chromosome 3, whole genome shotgun sequence.